GAUGAAGAACGUAGCGAAAUGCGAGAAGUAGUGUGAAUUGCAGAAUUCAGUGAAUCAUCGAAUCUUUGAACGCACAUUGCGCCCCUUGGUAUUCCAUGGGGCAUGCCUGUUCGAGCGUCAUUUGUACCUUCAAGCUCUGCUUGGUGUUGGGUGUUUGUCUCGCCUCUGCGUGUAGACUCGCCUUAAAACAAUUGGCAGCCGGCGUAUUGAUUUCGGAGCGCAGUACAUCUCGCGCUUUGCACUCAUAACGACGACGUCCAAAAGUACAUUUUUACACUCUUGACCUCGGAUCAGGUAGGGAUACCCGCUGAACUUAAGCAUAUCAAUAAGCGGAGGA
rnacentral:misc_RNA from 1 species